AUAGGAUAGGAUGGCAAAAAAAACCCAUCCAAAUCCCUCCAAGUUGCAGUACCAGACAACCCCUUCAAACUGCUUUACAACCCCUAUAAUUCAAAUUCUCUCUCUCUCUCUCUCUCUCUCUCUCUCAAUAUAUCUAUAUAUAUAUAUAUAUAUAUAUCUCUCUCUCUCUCUAUGUAUGUACUGUUCAAGACCCAUGUUUUUUUUAGGGCGAGGUUUUUUACCAUCCAUUUGAAUUUUGCUCACAUGGGUUUUCUUUGAAACAUCAAAAUAAGAAGAAAAAAAUGUUUGUUUUUGAAAUUUUUAAUUGGUUUGAACUUUGAAAUGGUAGUUUGAUGGUGUUUUUAUACCCAGACUGUUGGUGUGGGGUCAUUGUCCGUUUGUCGGCAUUGUCGGUAUUCGAAACGAUGAUACAGAGAAGCGGACUCGAUUUAAUUAAUCCAAAUACAGUACAGAUUCUCCUAGCCUAAGGUGAGUGUUGGUUGUAUUGGGCUCCGAUAGCAGUUGGAGGGUCUUAUUUUUUUGAAAGCCAGCAAGUUGGGAUUGUUUUCGAUUGGGAGAUAAUGAAUGGGAUUCAUUUAGGAGCAGGUGGAACUGUUCUCUAGAUACCAUGGGGCGGCAUCUGGGUAUUCAUCUAUUUCUUUUCUAUUGAUGUGGGAGGUUUUGUUGGGGUCCAAUGAGGAAGAAUGCAUGUGAAUUUUGAUUAGGACGACACGUGCACGAAUGGGAAUUUUGAUUGAAUUGGUAUGAAGUGAAGCUUGUUCAAAUCAAGCUGUGCUCUUCAAACACUCAAGAAGCAUUUGGUGGAUCGGUUCACUGUCUUUACAGGAACUUUCCAGAUUGGUUUCAAGGGGAAUUGGGUGGAACUGUCUUUAGGUAUCUCAUUUUUUUCAAUUGGUUGUCGGUUUGUUAGGAUCUGCCAUGGAGGAUUCUUGAUGUGAAUGUGGGUGAUUUUUUGUAUCGGCGAUGUGGGUGUGUGGAGAAUGUGAUUGAAUCAAUCGAUGAUUGGCAAAUGAAGCGAAGCGUUGUUGAGAUUGUGCUGUGAUCUUUUUACGGGAAAAGGUUGCAGCUUCGAUGUUUAGGAAUAUAUAUUUCCAGGCUCCUGUUCUGCAUCAUUGAAGUGUGGCACGUACCAAAUGACAACAUCUCUUGCAGUGAUACUUGGAGGCGCUGCAGGAGCUGUUGGAUUGGUGGCACUACUUUUAUUCCUAUGGUUCUGCCCACUACAUAAGAGGAGUGUUUCAAGAACUUCUGAGACAGGUUCUUCAGAUCCAUCUCUUCAAGCAGGACAAGCCAUUGAAUUGUCUCUUCUGAGAGGUGGCCCUCACCCAUCCGACUCGCGAGAGGCAAGGCGUUUUAUGUUGGACGAGUUAAACCUGGCUACAAAGAAUUUCAACAAUAUCAAUCUGAUCAGGC